rnacentral:pre_miRNA from 1 species
UAUAUACUCCCUCCGUCUGGAAAUACUUGUCAUCAAAAUGGAUAAAAGGGAUGUAUCUAGAUGUAUUUUAGUUUUAGAUACAUCCCUUUUUAUCCAUUUUGAUGACAAGUAUUUUCGGACGGAGGGAGUAUAAU